rnacentral:rRNA from 1 species
GAUGAACGCUGGCGGCGUGCCUAAUACAUGCAAGUAGAACGCUGAAGCUUGGUGCUUGCACCGAGCGGAUGAGUUGCGAACGGGUGAGUAACGCGUAGGUAACCUGCCUGGUAGCGGGGGAUAACUAUUGGAAACGAUAGCUAAUACCGCAUAACAGUAGAUAUUGCAUGAUAUCUGCUUGAAAGGUGCAAAUGCAUCACUACCAGAUGGACCUGCGUUGUAUUAGCUAGUUGGUGAGGUAACGGCUCACCAAGGCGACGAUACAUAGCCGACCUGAGAGGGUGAUCGGCCACACUGGGACUGAGACACGGCCCAGACUCCUACGGGAGGCAGCAGUAGGGAAUCUUCGGCAAUGGGGGGAACCCUGACCGAGCAACGCCGCGUGAGUGAAGAAUGUUUUCGGAUCGUAAAGCUCUGUUGUAAGAGAAGAACGAGUGUGAGAGUGGAAAGUUCACACUGUGACGGUAUCUUACCAGAAAGGGACGGCUAACUACGUG